UGGGGAAUUUUGGACAAUGGGCGAAAGCCUGACCCAGCAACGCCGCGUGAAGGAUGAAGUAUUUCGGUAUGUAAACUUCGUAAGAAUAGGAAGAAUAAAUGACGGUACUAUUUGUAAGGUCCGGCUAACUACGUGCCAGCAGCCGCGGUAAUACGUAGGGACCAAGCGUUGUUCGGAUUUACUGGGCGUAAAGGGCGCGUAGGCGGCGUGGUAAGUCAUCUGUGAAAUCUCCGAGCUUAACUCGGAACGGUCAGAUGAUACUGCUGUGCUAGAGUACAGAAGGGGCAAUCGGAAUUCUUGGUGUAGCGGUGAAAUGCGUAGAUAUCAAGAGGAACACCUGAGGUGAAGGCGGCCAACUGGACCGGUAUUGACGCUGAGGUACGAAAGCGUGGGUAGCAAACAGGAUUAGAUACCCCCGUAGUCCCUGAGCGGGCUGGCAAGGCGCAU
rnacentral:rRNA from 1 species